rnacentral:rRNA from 1 species
UACAGAGGGGGCAAGCGUUAUUCGGAAUUAUUGGGCGUAAAGGGCGCGUAGGCGGGUGCUCAAGUCCGGGGUGAAAUCCUCCAGCUCAACUGGAGAACUGCCUCGGAUACUGGGUGUCUCGAGUGUGGUAGGGGUAUGCGGAACUAUCGGUGGAGCGGUGAAAUGCGUAGAUAUCGGAAGGAACACCAGUGGCGAAGGCGGCUACCUGGACUGACACUGACGCUGAGGCGCGAGAGCGUGGGGAGCAAACAGG